rnacentral:rRNA from 1 species
UCCAUAUUACUAGAAUACUAGACCCGUAAGGGUUCGAAUUUUCUGGUUUUUUUGGAAUUUUUUUUACUGCCCUUGUUUGAGGGACACGUGUGCAGGUUGGUUUUCUAGAGUGGACUGGUUUUAUUUUUUGCUUGGUGGGAUUGUUCUAGCACGUCUGAUUCUGUGCAUGCUUGCCACGUCCAGUGUCCUUGUGUCGUUGACUGCCACUCAAUCGAUGGACACGUUGCCUUCUAGGCUUUUCUGGUGGGCUUCAUCUUUGUUUUUUCUCUUUCGACUGUCUAUAAGUAGUUGGCCUGCUGUUGGUUCACGUUCUCCGUAAGCCCAACCCAGAUUACUUCGCUGCUGUCUCCUGUCCUCCGUCUCUGCGCGCGGCCUCAUCCUCCUCCAACCUGGUAGGCGGCAGCCCCUAGCGCCGGCCCUUUUGUUUCCCUCCACCGAGAUCGAGAUGGUGGUGCGCCGCUGCGCCCUAUCCUCCCCAGCUUGGUCGCUGGCCAGCCCCUAACGCCAGGCCCUCCGUUUUCCUCCAGCGAGGCUGAGAUGGCAGUGUCGUGCUGCGCCCCGCCGGCCUCGCCGUCCGGGAUGCUCAGCAGGUGCUGCAGCGCCAUCGUUAGCGGGGUCUCGGAGUCCAGCCCGAACAUCCCACCCUCCAUUCUUGCUCACUGAUCGAUCUCCUCAGUGUUGGAUUACUUGUUGAUUAUAUAUAGGCAGGCUACCGGAGGACGUGCAAGCACCAAGCAGGCGGCAGACUACGCGCUCCCAACCUGCCUGCGAGGACGGAGAAGGAGCAGGAUGCGCACUGUCUGUGAGGCCUGCUGCCACCGGUCGUCCUGCCCCAUGAGCUUCACGAGAAGCGGCUCCCAACAAACAUGCCCAUGGACCUUCAGAUCAGAAUCGAAGCCUCCUCACCACGCGUGAGAUUUUGUGCAUGGUUGGGAGGGAGGCGAGUCUUCGUUUGUGUCCCUGCUGAGUCUUUUCCUGUUCGGUGAGUCUUCGUUUGUGUCCCUGCUGAGUCUUUUCCUGUUCGUUUCGUCUCUGUUAUGGUUCGUUCCGGUGCUCAUGCUUCCCAGCGUAUUCGCUCCACGUCGUUGGGUUCUUCUUCCUUGGUGGGUUCCUCUUUGCCGGUUGGUGGUGUUGAUGGGAGGUUUCUUGCCCAAGGUGGUUCUGUUCCUCAUUCGAGUGCUGAUGAGGCGCGGCGGCAACGCCAGGCACGGCAAGAUAUCCGUCGUGGGAAGCGCCCUCUAGAUUCAUCGUCCGUUGGAAGGAACGUUUGCCCUGUACUUGAAGAGCUGGUUGAUCCUUGUCUUCUUGCUGUUAGGGGUGCAUCUGAUGUCGAAGUUUUGUAUCGUCCGUAUUUUGUUGCUGGUUGGUUGUCUGGUUCCUCGCGUGGACUGACUCCUUCUGUUCUUCCUACACCUGUUGUUAGUCGUGCUGAUGCUGUUUGGAAUCGUCGGAAGCGAAGGAUUCUUCGAGAUUAUUACACUGGUAAAAAAUAGUUCCUGCUAUGGAACCGCCAUUUGCUAAGGAAAAUAUAUUACUUCUUAAAGCCGUUUCACGUGUUCGCUCUUAUUAUGGUGGUCCUGAGUAUGUUUGCCCGGUGUGCCAUGCUUCAUUUUGGUUUUUGGAGGGCUGUAAGACUUAUGCUGCCGGUGGUGGUCGCCUUCCAGUGUAUAGUGGCUGUUGCAAGGGAGGCAAGGUGUCGUUGCCUUCAUUUCCAGAUUGGCCAUCUCCUCUUAAGGAUUUGAUUAAGUUUGAUGGAGGUCCUGUCUCUAGCCGUUUCAUGCGUUUGAUUAGAUAUUACAAUUCUAUGUUUUGCUUCACAUCUCUUGGCGCUCGAGUUGAUCAGAGUAUUAAUGUUGGCGGAUCCCUAUGUUUUCAAGAUGAAUGGGGUGGUUUAUCAUCAUAUUGGUCCUCUUAUUCCUUCAGGGAAUAGUGCGCCAAAGUAUGCUCAGCUUUAUAUGGUGGACUCUGCUGAUGAAGUGCAGUUGAGAAUUAGUGCCUUUGAUCGUCAAGGAGCUGAAACGCUUGAUCCUGAUCCAGGCAUUGUGGCCUCUCUUAUUGCUAUGUUAAAUAGGCAUCAUAAAUUGGUGCAUAAGUUUAGAAUGGCUAGGGCAAAUCUGUGUUCUCCUUCUGCUCCUAGGGUGGCUAUACAUUUUAUGGGUGAUGAAGGCGGUGGUCAUGGUGACCGUUUUUCUGGUCCUGCUUCAUGUGAGGUGGCCGCUCUUAUUGUCGGCGAUUACACGCUUGAAUGUAAAAGAUUUGAUGUUAUUGCUGAAACUCGCUCUGGUUUUCUUCAGCAUAUCUCUUCGUUGAAUUCGAGUCUUAUGCCCCUACAGUAUCCUCUAUUAUUUCCCUUUGGUGACAAAGGAUUUCAUCUUGGUAUCAAGUAUAUUGCUACUGGUGGGCCUCAUGGAGAUGGGCAUUGUAAUAUUGGUGGGCGUUUACGUGGUCGUUCUUCAGGAGGGCAAGUAUCUAUGAUGGAAUACUAUAAUUAUUACUUCCACUAUAGACGGGGGGAGCCAAAUCCUUAUACCUGUUGUGGUCGUUUGAGCCAGCAGAUAGGGUGGAUCAACUGGUGAGAAUUUGGGGAUUCAGUUUAUAUUACAUUCGAGUUUUACGGGUGGUCCUUGGUACAUGAUGCUUAAUUACCAUGAUGGUAUGGCUAUUUGUCGCGAAUAUGGUGCUCCCGAUCUUUUUGUCACUUUUACAUGCAAUCCAAAGUGGCAAGAAGUGAUGCUCUCGCAUAUGAAGGUGGUCAGACUCACGUUGAUCGUCCUGACGUUGUUACACGUGCUUUCAAUAUAAAAUUUGAAGAAUUUUUAGAAGAUGUAAAGAAUGGAUCAGCAUUUGGAGCUAUUCAAGCUUAUUUGUAUGUGGUGGAAUUUCAAAAGAGAGGGCUUCCUCAUACUCAUACUCUUAUCUGGCUUAAAGAGAGUACGAAGGAUCCUUCGCCUGCUUUUAUAGAUAAUCUGGUGUGUGCUGAGUUACCAGAUCCAAUGGUUGACCCUUCGGGAUAUACACUUGUGGAUGAAUUCAUGGUUCACGGCCCAUGUGGUAUGUUAGAUGACAAGUGUCCUUGUAUGAAAGAUGGCACUUGCUCAAAGCGGUUUCCAAAGUCUUUUAACAGUGAGAUGAUGGUGGAUGAGAUGGGGUUUCCUGUAUAUCGUCGACGCCCCUCUGCUAAUUUUGUUCUUAGAAAGAAGGGGACUCUUCGUUUGAAUAAUUUGGAAAGAUGGUUAAGGUGGUUCCGUCUCUUGGUCUAUGUAAUGGGACACGUUUGAUUGUCACUCGCCUUGGCCACAGAGUUAUAGAAGGUGAAAUCAUUACUGGUUCACAUAAAGGGGAACGAGUUUGUAUUCCGCGUAUUGUGCUUAAUUCUCCUGGGUGUAAAUGGCCUUUCACAUUGCGUCGUUGCCAGCUUCCAAUUCGGCUGUGUUAUGCGAUGACAAUAAAUAAAAGUCAAGGGCAAACUUUAUAUAAGAUUUGUGUGUAUUUGAGGAAUCCGGUUUUUUCACAUGGACAAUUGUAUGUAGCCGUCUCGCGUGUUACGUCCUGGAAGGGUCUAAAAUUCUUAAUUGAAGAUGAGAACGGAGAACAUUCGCCAAUCACAAGGAAUGUAGUCUAUGAAGAAAUCAUUCGUCGUUUAUAGUUCCAUUCUUACAUGCUUAUGGUUCUUGUUGUGCAUAACGAAAACCAGCCUUCGGCAUUCAGGGAGUGCUUCGCUGCCGUAGAUUCCAGCAUGACACGUCUAUAUAGUGUAAGAGGUGAUUGCUAAUGCCAUCUUGGAUGAUUACGCUGAACGGUUAGAGAUGUCCAAGCAGAUGGACGGGGAAGAGGCAGGUGAGCAAGCAAAUAUGGAAUAGGGUGUUAACAAUCUGAAG